CGGCGCACGGGUGAGUAACGCGUAUCCAACCUUCCGUACAYUCAGGGAUAGCCUUUCGAAAGAAAGAUUAAUACCUGAUGGUAUGAUGAGAUUGCAUGAUAGCAUCAUUAAAGAUUUAUCGGUGUACGAUGGGGAUGCGUUCCAUUAGGUAGUAGGCGGGGUAACGGCCCACCUAGCCAACGAUGGAUAGGGGUUCUGAGAGGAAGGUCCCCCACAUUGGAACUGAGACACGGUCCAAACUCCUACGGGAGGCAGCAGUGAGGAAUAUUGGUCAAUGGACGAGAGUCUGAGCCAGCCAAGUAGCGUGAAGGAUGAAGGUCCUACGGAUUGUAAACUUCUUUUAUAAGGGAAUAAACCCUCCCACGUGUGGGAGCUUGUAUGUACCUUAUGAAUAAGCAUCGGCUAACUCCGUGCCAGCAGCCGCGGUAAUACGGAGGAUGCGAGCGUUAUCCGGAUUUAUUGGGUUUAAAGGGAGCGCAGACGGGUCGUUAAGUCAGCUGUGAAAGUUUGGGGCUCAACCUUAAAAUUGCAGUUGAUACUGGCGUCCUUGAGUGCGGUUGAGGUGUGCGGAAUUCGUGGUGUAGCGGUGAAAUGCUUAGAUAUCACGAAGAACUCCGAUUGCGAAGGCAGCACACUAA
rnacentral:rRNA from 1 species